GGGACACAGCAGGGACCCAGCUAGACAGGAGGAGAGAGAGGGUGGUGCGGGUGGCCCAGCUUCACUGCUGCUCUGUGUUUGUAAUAACAGCGUGUCAGCGUCUCCUAUGGCUUGUUUGUGUUCCCCUAACAAGUUAUUAGUGCAGGCGGGACCAGGCACAGCCAGCUCCUGGCAUCCUGCCCUGUAGCUUUGCAGGGAGGGACCUGACUGAUCUUUGCCCUGCAUCCCACCUGCCCAAGGAAGCUUUUCAAGCCUGGUAUUGUCCCACGGGGCUAGGGUAUUUUCUGUGGGGCGUACCCCCACCCCACAGGUUGUCUCUGGAGUCCACCUGCUGUGAGCCAGGAGCUCCAUGGCUGAGGACAAUUGCAUGUGUCCCAGAUGUCAUGCGCAGUCCUCCCCACCUGUAACUCACCCCCCAGUGAUGAGAGAAGUGACAUCAGAACGCCAAUGCAUCAUUAGUGAGUGCUCCCACAGAAGAAAGAAAAACCCAGGGACACUGCUGGUGAGGGACUCAGUGGGCGAAGGUGCUCGCCACCACGCGUGGCAGACCUUAGUGCAAUUCCAGGGACCCGUGUGCUAACAGAGCUGCCUCCUCACUGUUCUGAUCUCCACAGGUGCUCAGUGGCACACAUGCACACACUUGUGUGUGCUCGUCCCACACCCCCAAUGUAUGUAAUAACAGUUUUUAAACUAGGCAUGGCUGUCCACACCUUUAAUCCAUGCACCCCAGAGGCAGAAGGAUUUCUGUGAGUUCCAGGCCAGCCAGGGUUAUGAGUGAGCCCUAUUGCAAAAUAAAUAAACAAAUGGAGAUUUAAACU
rnacentral:lncRNA from 1 species